UCUCUCUCUCUCUCUCUCACUAUUUCUGUGAAACCCUAGCCGCCGCCCCUUAAAUCCUCACCUCUCUCAUGCCAAAAAUGGCGCGUGCACAGAUCUAGGCUGAUAUGCGCAGUAAGUGCAUGCCUAUAAUGGUGAAAGUUUAAUGUUUACUCCAUUUUCAUGCUCUGCUUUACCCGAAUAUGAUUUGGAAGCACAGAGGCUCUCAAAUCCAUUCUUCUCUUGGCUGCGCGUGUAAAAGGUCUCAGUUAUGCUUUUAGGAUGAUAGGUAUUCCAUACAUAUGUAUAUCAGGAAUAUUUCAUUUUGCCCUAGGCCAUCUGGGGUGCAUGUGAAGCUGUGUUUUCUUGGGUUGUGGUUUGAGAUGCAUGUUAGGUAAAGAGGGGUCAAGUUUGAACCCUUCUCGGAUGACCAGCCAUGCCGGAGGUUCAUGAAACCUCUUGGAACUUGUGCGGCAUUUGGAUCAAAGGAGGUUGAUGACUUGACCUUCCAUCACUUGAUUUGGGAUGUUUGAGUUUGAGUACAUAGAACACAUAUGCUUCACAUGGUCUCUCAGGUAAAUGUGAUAUACUGUGUAUAUAUAUGUCGUAUAUUCACACAUAGAGUAGGAUUCGUAAAGCAGUGGUAUACUUUGCAUAUAUGUGUAUAUAUUGUAUGUGUGAUAGGGACAGAAAAAUAUAAACUAACCGGGGUCCUUUGUCCACACCCCCCCCCCCCCCCCAACCUGCAUGGCCACUCGGGCUGAGGUCCAGCCGCCUUGUUGAGCUAGAAGCCCAAUAAGGAAUAUAUCCUUCAUUUGAGUCCAAAAAGAAGAAAGGGAAGCUAAGAUAUUGAAAGCCCAAUCAUGGGUAAAAAUGAUACGAAGUCCCAGCCAUGGGUGAAAAUGGCUAGGGUUUGGUACACCCCAUUUCAUUCAUUUUCAUCAUAUUGCUGCUAUAUUUAGUUUCUUCUUGUAUUUUGCUACUUGUAAACCCACAAAUUUAUUGGAACCCUUUAUUGAAUUAGGCAUCUUAGGAAAACGCCACAUACGCCGUUUAGUUUGACUCUAGCACCUGAUUUUCUUUAAUCUUUUGGAAUGCAUACU